CUAAUACAUGCAAGUCGAACGCAAUCUUUGACUAAUGAGUGCUUGCACUCAGCAGUCAAAGUGCGAGUGGCGAACGGGUGAGUAACACGUGGGCAAUCUGCCCAAAAGUGGGGGAUAACACUUGGAAACAGGUGCUAAUACCGCAUCAACCGGCUGACCGCAUGGUCGGCCGGGCAAAGACGGCGUCAGCUGUCGCUUUUGGAUGAGCCCGCGGCGUAUUAACUAGUUGGUAAGGUAACGGCUUACCAAGGUGAUGAUACGUAGCCGAACUGAGAGGUUGAUCGGCCACAUUGGGACUGAGACACGGCCCAAACUCCUACGGGAGGCAGCAGUAGGGAAUCUUCCACAAUGGACGCAAGUCUGAUGGAGCAACGCCGCGUGUAUGAAGAAGGUCUUCGGAUCGUAAAAUACUGUUGUCAGAGAAGAACACGUGAUAGAGUAACUGCUAUGGCGCUGACGGUAUCUGACCAGCAAGUCACGGCUAACUACGUGCCAGCAGCCGCGGUAAUACGUAGGUGGCAAGCGUUGUCCGGAUUUAUUGGGCGUAAAGGGAACGCAGGCGGUCUUUUAAGUCUGAUGUGAAAGCCUUCGGCUUAACCGGAGAAGUGCAUUGGAAACUGGAAGACUUGAGUGCAGAAGAGGAGAGUGGAACUCCAUGUGUAGCGGUGAAAUG
rnacentral:rRNA from 1 species